rnacentral:ncRNA from 2 species
AAUUCGACCCCUGCAUCAGGUGCCUGCCCAUUAUUCCCCGCCAGGGAUAAGUGGGGCAGGUUAAACGGGAAGUGUGGUGCGUUACAGGUGUGAAUUUGGCUGCCUGUAACAACGCCACCGCUGCCCCCGCAACGGUAAAUGAGUUCUCCUGCAGGAGAGUUCACAAGCCCGAAACCGGCCUCGUGUGGAUGCUACAA